GGUAUACCCACUCUGUCCAAUUUGUUUGGCCAGUAGGUUGCUUGGGGUGUGACAUGAAAAUUCUUCAAACUGGACUUGACAUGUACAGUGGCAAAAGAUGCUAUUUCAAGGUAUGUUAGACGAAUUGUUUUUGAAGGAGGACUCAUUGUAGAUCCAGAUCAGGGGGAGUUUCUCUGCCCUGUGGGAACCAUGGACUUGCAAAUUCAGCAUUGCCUGCAUUACCUGGAGAUUCUCAAAAGGUUUCUAGACCAGCAAUGGUUUCAACUGUCAGUUGGCCAUAUGCUACAGGCCAAUUAUCCUCUGCAAACAGGGAAACUGAUUUCCUUCGCUUUCGGGAAGCCUGGUCUCUUUUACAUAGUGCUGCUGAUGUUGCUGGGAGGAGUGAAAUCCUAAAAGCUUUUCCAAUGCAUCGAACUGGAAGGAUAAGACCAAAUCCUGAAUCCAUGUUUCGUGUACUAUCUGGAAUGUAUUUUCCAGGCAAACAGGAUAGGAUUUCAGGAUCUGCAAGGGAUCUACUGCUGGUCUGCUGCUGCC